GAAUCCCGUCUUUGACACGGACUGCCUGCAUGUUAUGGUGCGCUCUCAAAGAGUCGAGUUGUUUGGGAAUGCAGCUCAAAAUGGGUGGUAAAUGCCAUCUAAAGCUAAAUAUUGGCGAGAGACCGAUAGCGAACAAGUACCGUGAGGGAAAGAUGAAAAGAACUUUGGAAAGAGAGUUAAACAGUACGUGAAAUUGCUGAAAGGGAAACGCUUGAAGUCAGUCGCGUCGGCUAGAAAUCAACCUUGCUUUUGCUUGGUGUACUUUCUUGUUGAUGGGUCAGCAUCAAUUUUGACCGUUGGAUAAAGUCGUUGGGAAUGUGGCAUCUUAGGAUGUGUUAUAGCCCAUCGUCGCAUACAGCGGUUGGGAUUGAGGAACUCAGCACGCCCUUCUGGGGACGGGUUUCGACCACGUUUCGUGCUUAGGAUGCUGGCAUAAUGGCUUUAAUCGACCCGUCUUGAAACACGGACCAAGGAGUCUAACAUGCCUGCGAGUGUUUGGGUGGAAAACCCAUGCGCGCAAUGAAAGUGAAAGUUGAGAUCUCCUCAAGGGGAGCAUCGACGCCUGGACCAGAGCUUCUGUGACAGAUCCGCGGUAGAGCAUGUAUGUUGGGACCCGAAAGAUGGUGAACUAUGCCUGAAUAGGGUGAAGCCAGAGGAAACUCUGGUGGAGGCUCGUAGCGAUUCUGACGUGCAAAUCGAUCGUCAAAUUUGGGUAUAGGGGCGAAAGACUAAUCGAACCAUCUAGUAGCUGGUUCCUGCC
rnacentral:rRNA from 1 species